UGGCAUUUUCAGAUGGCUUGGCAAGUUCUCAUGCUCUUUUUAAUCCAAGACAUAUAUAUAAGAAUCAACUUUUCACAUUGAAUCAGGCUACUCGUGUAUGUGCCUUUUAGUCUCUUCCUCAAAUUUUCUUCUAGAUGGUGCAAAUGGAGAUUCCAGAUAAGGAGGAAUGUCAAUACACAGUUCCACAUUGAUUCGUGAGAAAGAUACAUUAAUUUAGAACAAGUGGAGUACCUUUAGUUUCCUCAUGUACAUCAGCGAAUGUUGUCUUUUUUACCGUUAAAUUACUCUUUUCCUUAUCUUCCUCCACCCAUUAUCUUUGCCUCUCUUCCUCCCGAGCCCAGGCUCAUCACAUUUUUCAAUGGUGCAUCUAGAUCGCAAUCAGACCUUCCAUCUCCACCCAGACUUUAACCAUGCACUUGAUUUACAUCUCACACUGUUUAACUUCUCCCUCCCUUUGCCUCUCUCGCUGCAAUGCAACAUUCUCUCUCUCCCUCCCUCCCUUCCCUCUUCCAAUUAAACUACGGCAUUUAAGAAGUAAGCAUUAUGUGUGAGAUGUAAAUAGUUGUGCCAGAAGGACAAUGAAGUUUAAUGCGGCUCUAUUGGUUAAAAGUAACAACCGCAUAAAAAAUAUCAUAAAACGUUUAAUGAUUUAUAAGUUGCAUCCUGAUUUUAAUAAAUUUAGGCUAACUUAUAAAUCACUUGUUCAUGAUAUUGUUCUAGGAGAAAAUAGUUGAUUUCCCUUCUCGGGAAUUUAUUAUUUAAGGUAUGUGAUAUUGUUCACUAUAAAAAUAUGUUACAUUUCUCUAUGAGCAAAUAGUUGAUUUCCCUUCAUAUAAAAAAACAACCGAUUUUUCUAAAAAAAAAUGGGUCACCCCUCAUACGCCCGGGCUGGCCGCCCGAUCACUGACCGAUCAUGAUUUUUUGACACUGACGGGCCUCUCAGACGGACCUGAAACGCCCGGGCUAACCGGCACCCCCAUAUCCACCUAAAUAUGGGGCGGAUAUGGGGGCGCCCCGGCAUGCCCGCCACGUCGGACCCGGCCCAUACUGGCCCACCAGACCCCACUUAUAUUCAUCCCCAUCCGCUUGCCGGAGCAAACCCUAGCCACAUCACUCCACUCCUCUCCCCUUCCCUCCGCCACCCGAGCUCACCUCCGGCGGAUUUCGACCUUCUCCGCCAUGGCAGACAGCGGAUCAGACUCCGACUAGUCCAGAUCCGUCGACUGGGGUGUCAUCCCGUGUGGGUUGGAGGAGGCAAUGGCAGUCCACACACUCCGCAGCCCCUGGGAGGACAGCACCCGACCGACAGACGGAUCCGUCCGUCGUGAAGCCAUAGCGUCUGCUCACCGGGCGCUCAGGUCCUCUGGUGCUGGAUCCUCGCGGUCCCGGCAGCCGAAACACUUCUCCUUCCCCAUCACCGGUCGGGCAGACUACGAGUCUCACCGGGAACAGGCAGCACGCUGUGGGAAGGAGACAAUAAGGGCCGCCGAGGCUGGUAUAGCGGCGGAAAUGGCGGCGGCGGAGGCGGCUGAUGCAACGACGAGGGCGGCCGAAGAGGAGGAAGCCAUCCACGCCCACAUUUGUAAGAAACUGCAGCGGAGGACCACGCGCGCCCUCGCCCUAUAGCAGAAUCGGGCGGUCUGUGCCAUGAACGGACUGCCACCGAAGGAGGAGAAGGAGGACAACGACUGCGAGGACAGCUCCGGUGACGAGCAGAUCCGGCUCGAUCCGUACUGCGUCUUCGACCGAUACUUUCGCGAGAAGGACGACAAGGGCGUCGGGAAGGGCAAGGGCAGCCGUGGAUGAACUCCACCAUAGCCAAACAUGCCAAAUUUUGGUAGUCCGAUGGCAUGUUUAGUGUAGUGUGACGGAGUAGCCGGACGAUGCGUAUGUGUCGACGUAGUUGCAUGAGUUUGUAUGGAUUUGAGAUAUGCUAAUUGAGGUGUCCGGAUGUGGAUUGUAUUUUUUUAGGAGUGCCCGGUCACUGCCCACGGACGCACCCGGGCACGUCCGCGGGUGUUUAAGGGGCCGGAUUUGCCAACUCCGAUUGUAAAUGCUCUAACAAAAUAUAUCGCUGAAAAAUACUACAUAACACACUUUUCUGGGAUCAUUGCACGUUUUCUGUCGCGUAACGGUUUUUCUUUACUUCCCAAUAUAGCACAACACCGGACGCCGCACAACGCUCUCGUUCCCCUCACUCUCUCCGCACCACUCUCUCAUUCCCCUCCACCAAAUCCCUAGCUCUAGUCCGACGAACCGCCUCCCUCUCGCCCGCGUCGCCGCCUCCCUCCGACGGACGCGCGUCGCCACCUUCUCUCCCUCUCGCACGCGUCGCCUGCUCCAAAGAUUUCUUUACCGAGGUUGAGGAGGAGCAGGCGGAGCGCGGGCAGGGCGGACUUCUCCUACCCGACAACGGCUGCAAUGAACGCCGGCGCUCCUCAUCGCCCUCGACCUGCAAGGAGGAGCGCCCGUACUGGACGCUGCCGUCCCCGACAGGUUCUCUUCGAUGGAGCCCCCCUCCAUCUCGACGGCACCUGAGAGCGAGCCCGCACCCGUCCCAGUCGACUACCAUGCUCUACGCUCGACGGCAAGACCCACGAGAUGGGAGUAGGAUGUAUGUUGCGAAGGGAAGAACUGUGGGAUAUGGACGACGAGGCAGCUCGUGAAGAUGCGGUUGCUGCGUCUGCACUGAUUAGAUGAGAAGGUGCUGCUAGGCGAGGAGUGCUCUGGGCAGCGAGGAGUGCCUGGGCCAGCAGCGCCUCUAGGCGGCGAGGAGUGCCUAGGCCAGCGCGGCUAGGACGAGCGCCAGUAGCGGUGGCCUCCACCUGGGCGCCUGGCCAAGGAGGAGUGCCUGGGUGCGGUGCGGCAAGCAGUGCCUGGGAAAUAGUGAGGCGUGAGUUGCUGGGCGAGGCACGAGGUGCUGACGACGGCGAGGUUAAAAUUCAAAUAGAUCUGGGAGCAGAACAAUGGUACCCAUAAAAUGGAGAAAAGGUCAUGAUAUAGUGUGGAAUGCAAAUAUUGUUCAUACUGACCUUGCAAAAUGAAGUCAGACCAGAACUGGAUGAUUGAUGCAGGCGAACAAAAUUAAGUUUCGAGAGAUGGCGGGAAGCAGCCACUGCCGCUCUGCGACACCGCAAUACGAGUUGGAUGCUUCUG